UUAAGUCAGGCAACGAGCGAGACCCGUGCCCACUGUUACCAGCAUGUCCUCCGGGACGAUGGGUACACUGUGGGGACCGCUGAUGUCAAAUCAGAGGAAGGUGCGGGCUACGGUAGGUCAGUAUGCCCCGAAUCUCCCGGGCUACACGCGGGCUACAAUGGUCGGGACAAUGGGUCCCUUCCCCGAAAGGGGUUGGCAAUCUCACAAACCCGUCCUUAGUUCGGAUCGAGGGCUGUAACUCGCCCUCGUGAAGCUGGAAUCCGUAGUAAUCGCGUUUCAACAUAGCGCGGUGAAUACGUCCCUGCUCCUUGCACA
rnacentral:rRNA from 1 species